rnacentral:rRNA from 1 species
GCAAGUCGAGGGGCAGCGCGAUUUAGUUUACUAGAUUGGCGGCGACCGGCGCACGGGUGCGUAACGCGUAUGCAACCUACCUCAUACUGGGGAAUAGCCCGGAGAAAUCCGGAUUAAUGCCCCAUAGUAUUCCAUUUAGGCAUCUAUAAGGAAUUAAAGAUUACGGUAUGAGAUGGGCAUGCGUCCCAUUAGCUAGAUGGUAAGGUAACGGCUUACCAUGGCGACGAUAGGUAGGGGCCCUGAGAGGGGGAUC